rnacentral:lncRNA from 1 species
UUUGAACAGCGUCUGACAUUUAUUGAAAAUCAGGAAAAGACGUUUGUCCAGGUAGUGUAGAAGAGCUGGGCAGAGUGCUGGGGUUACUGUGUUGGACAAAAGGCACACGUCAGAGAGACAGCUGCACAUUCAGAAGAGAACUGGAUUCUGGGCGAAACUAACAGGUCCACAGGAGACAAUGAGUGACUCGACGUGGCUGCCAGGAGCAGGAGCAGGAGCGGGAGCGGGAGCAGG